rnacentral:lncRNA from 1 species
GUACCAACUUCCACCAGAAAACAAGCAGUGAACUAAUGGCGCAUUCAGCUGGAAAGAAUCUCUCUGCCCUCCUGAUCCUGCUCGUCGCCAUGGCCGCGGUUGCGGGUACGUACACGCGUGCACUUGCAUCAACUACGUACAUGUUGCAAAUUAAGCCGCGAUCGAUGUCGUUUGAUCAAUCUUUCUUUAAGCUAGCAAAAAGUUGUUCUGUUGGAUAUAUGAACGUUCAUGCCUGCACAGGUAGGAUCCAUCCAGCAGAGUCGGCGUCCAUGCAGCAGAGUCGGAUCCAUAGUCCUUGCAAGGAACACCCGAGUGCCAAUUAUAAAGGGAUGUGCCUUGGAGUGAUCAACGACAGCGAAUGCAACAGU